GACGAACGCUGGCGGCGUGCUUAACACAUGCAAGUCGAGGGCAUUCAGGGGCAACUCUGGGUGACCGGCGAACGGGUGCGUAACACGUGAGCGACCUGCCCUUCCGCGGGGGAUAGCCGGCCCAACGGCCGGGUAAUACCGCAUACGCUCGUUCUGGGGCAUCCUGGAGCGAGGAAACUUCUGGGGCGGAAGGAGGGGCU
rnacentral:rRNA from 1 species